CACGUAGGCACCAAGCGUUGUCCGGAUUUAUUGGGCGUAAAGAGCUCGUAGGCGGUUCAGUAAGUCGGGUGUGAAAACUCUGGGCUCAACCCAGAGACGCCACCCGAUACUGCUGUGACUUGAGUACGGUAGGGGAGUGGGGAAUUCCUGGUGUAGCGGUGAAAUGCGCAGAUAUCGGGAGGAACACCGGUGGCGAAGGCGGUUCUCUGGGAAUUACCUGACGCUGAGGAGCGAAAGCAUGGGGAGCGAACAGG
rnacentral:rRNA from 1 species